GAAGUAUUUUUGCUAUCAAAACAAUAUUUUUAAUACCAAAGAAUUGUUCAGUGAGAACUCAAAGCCAAGUUAGAUAACAUCCACUCUUCUGUGGAUGCCCCCUUCCUUGAAAGCAUUCAAGGCCAGGCUGGAUGGGUCUUUGAGUAAUCUGAUCUAGAGGGAGGGAUCCCUGCCUAUAGCAGGGGAAUUGAACUAGAUGAUCUUAAAGGUCCUUUCCAGUCCAAACCAUUCUAUGCUUCUAGGUAUAUCACUGGCUUCAAACAAGUCACAGAUUCUGGCUAGACGCAAAUUGAAUGAGAUCUGACAAUUUGAUCAAAAUCCCUUUGCCUUUGGUAAUACAAGUUUAAUUGCUCACAGAUUGAUUCAUAUGUAAUAACUGAAAAGCAAAAUGCAUCUGAUUAGGAAAUUCAGAAUUAUUGUUUGAUUCUUUCUAUUGUUCUAAUCUUACAAUGAUUUCUGUAAAUGUUUUCAAUCACUGUACAUCAAUCUAUUUUUCAGUGUGUUUAUAUUGAUAGAAUAUUCAGAGCAGAAGCUGCAGAGGAGGAUAAAUGGCAUGAGAAAGCAAGGCUGAGAACUAAGGACAUCCCCAGUAGAAAAAAACAAAGUCAGGUAGGAGUGGAGGAGGAAGGAAAAAGUGUGACCCAUGAUUUUCCUUGCCGGGGAAAUGAAUACUACUAAAAACACAAGCCCAAGUGUAGAAUUCAGUAAAAUUAGCAGCUUUCUUCCACAACUUUUCUGAUACACUGCUGAUGUAUUUAUGCUGGUAAGCUUGUUGUGUAGUGAGUCCAAUAGUCUUCAAGAGAUUAUAGACAUUCUUCUGCCUUUGUUUCCAUUGGUAAACAUUAGACAUAAGACUACUGUUUGUUUCAUUACAAAAAUCUAAAUGAUCAGCUUUUCAAUUCUUCAGUUAUAAAUUACUUCUAGAAAGCUUUCUAAUUUCAAAGGAAAGUAUAAUAAGAAGAUUUUUAAGGUCACAGAGUCAAGGAAAAUCUCUUGGCUUGAGACCUAGAGGAGAAUAAAUGUUCUUACUGUAAAAAUUGAAGUCUACCU
rnacentral:lncRNA from 1 species